GGGUGCGAUCAUACCAGCACUAAUGCACCGGAUCCCAUCAGAACUCCGAAGUUAAACGUGCUUGGGCAAGAGUAGUACUAAGAUGGGUGACCUUUUGUGAAGUCCUCGUGUUGCACCCC
rfam:Ricinus communis cultivar Hale ctg_1100012326299, whole genome shotgun sequence.